rnacentral:rRNA from 1 species
AUUGAACGCUGGCGGCAGGCCUAACACAUGCAAGUCGAACGAGUGGCGGACGGGUGAGUACUGUCUGGGAAACUGCCCGAUGGAGGGGGAUAACUACUGGAAACGGUAGCUAAUACCGCAUACCAUCGGAUGUGCCCAGAUGGGAUUAGCUAGUAGGUGGGGUAACGGCUCACCUAGGCGACGAUCCCUAGCUGGUCUGAGAGGAUGACCAGCCACACUGGAACUGAGACACGGCCCAGACUCCUACGGGAGGCAGCAGUGGGGAAUAUUGGACAAUGGGCGAAAGCCUGAUGCAGCCAUGCCGCGUGUAUGAAGAAGGCCUUCGGGUUGUAAAGUACUUUCAGCGGGGAGGCGUUACUCGCAGAAGAAGCACCGGCUAACUCCGUGCCAGCAGCCGCGGUAAUUC